rnacentral:rRNA from 1 species
UACGUAGGGUGUGAGCGUUGUCCGGAAUUAUUGGGCGUAAAGAGCGUGUAGGCGGCCCGGUAAGUCCGCUGUGAAAGUCGGGGGCUCAACCUCGAAUGCCGGUGGAUACUGUCGGGCUAGAGUGCGGAAGAGGCGAGUGGAAUUCCUGGUGUAGCGGUGAAAUGCGCAGAUAUCAGGAGGAACACCAAUUGCGAAGGCAGCUCGCUGGGACGUAACUGACGCUGAGACGCGAAAGCGUGGGGAGCAAACAGG